ACCAAGUGAUACCCGGUAACAACAACAACAAUCCAGUAUAGUGGGGUCUGGGGUAGGUAGUGCGUAAGGUCUACUCUUGGGUAGAGAGACUGUUUCCAAAUAGACCCCAGCAUUCUUUCAUCCAAAAACUUCCCACCUUGCUCUUGGGGAGACUCGAACUCACAACCUCUCGGUUGGAAGUGGGGGUUGCUUACCAUCAGAACAAUCC
rnacentral:lncRNA from 1 species